rnacentral:scRNA from 1 species
ACGCCUAUGACCACGCGGCGAAGAUCAUCGGU